AGGUGUUACAGCUCUUUUAGAAUUUGUCUAGCAGGUUUCCUGGUUUUUACUGAAACCACA
ensembl:snRNA U7 U7 small nuclear RNA